UACGAAGGGGGCUAGCGUUGCUCGGAAUCACUGGGCGUAAAGCGCACAUAGGCGGAUUUUUAAGUCAGGGGUGAAAUCCUGGAGCUCAACUCCAGAACUGCCUUUGAUACUGGGAAUCUCGAGUCCGGGAGAGGUGAGUGGAACUGCGAGUGUAGAGGUGAAAUUCGUAGAUAUUCGCAAGAACACCAGUGGCGAAGGCGGCUCACUGGCCCGGUACUGACGCUGAGGUGCGAAAGCGUGGGGAGCAAACAGG
rnacentral:rRNA from 1 species